rnacentral:lncRNA from 1 species
UAGCAUGUACCCAUGAUUCUAACACAAGAGAAAGCAAAAGAUGGAUAUUACACACAGAGACAUGCAUGAUACGACCCUCUGAUAUGUCAUCAUUCCUUCUCAAAAGAUACAGGGUGUGUAGUUUUCCAUGAUUGAAGAGUAUGCAUGAUCGACACCGGCGCACCGCCCUGCAUGUUGUUCGUUGUUGUCACCUUUGCAACUCUCUCGGUCUUAAAUCAAGUGACUUAAAAUGUAAUAAUUAUCUUAAAAAAACAUUUAGAC